rnacentral:rRNA from 1 species
UACGGAGGGUGCGAGCGUUGUCCGGAAUCACUGGGCGUAAAGGGCGCGUAGGUGGCCUGUGGAAGUCUGCGGUGAAAGCCCGGCGCUCAACGCCGGGUCUGCCGUGGAUACUCUCGGGCUUGAGCUUACUAGAGGCAGAUGGAAUUCCGGGUGUAGCGGUGGAAUGCGUAGAGAUCCGGAAGAACACCGGUGGCGAAGGCGGCCUGCUGGGCAGUGGCUGACGCUGAGGCGCGACAGCGUGGGGAGCAAACAGG